AUUAAAUUGAUUUCAUGGGUCAUAUUUGCAAAACAUUACUUUAGAGUUUAUAUUUACUUAAUUCUCAUUUAAUUCUCCCUCUCACCUUAUGAGGUAGGAAUUAUUAUCAUCCCCAUUUUACAGAACAGAAAAAAAGAAUCUCAAGCUUCACACUCCAGAUCUAGCUUUUUUUCUCUUCUUCUUUUAAUCAAGAAAGGCAUGAAUGAGAGGAAUUAAAAGAUGUCAAAGGGCCAGGUCAGAAAGGAAGAGUCCCAGAGGCAAAGCAAUCAAGGUGCGCCUUGGGGAGAAUUUUAAAAAUCAAACAAGGGGAUUAAGGCUGUGUGCUGUGGAGCAUGCAACUUACAAACUGCUCUGUCUCCCCUGUGAAAUCUGCAGGAAAAUUUGCAUGGCUGCCCAUGCUGAUGGGUGAGUGGCUGCUUCAAGGAGGAGCCAGAUUUAUUAUCCACGUGGCCCAAGCAGAGUCAGAGAGAACAUGGGUUAUGCCGGAGGCUGGGAGGUUGCUACUCUCUAGGUCACAUUCAUGAACUUGAAACCAGCUCCAGACUUGUAGGAAUUGGGGACCGGUGGUUGCAGGGUGAGGAGAGAAUGGAUAGGCAUCGAAUCCAGAGCAUUUGACCACCAGGGCUGGCCUGGGAAAACUUACCACUGGACUCUAUUAAUGAACAGACAAAAGUUCCAUGUCUUCUGCACAGGCAAUGAUCAGAGAAGAGAAGAGGAGACAGAAGCCCAGCCCCUGAUGUCAGUGAAAGACUGACAUAGGGGGAGAUUUGAUGUGUUAAGAGUGAUGAACCUUUCUCCUAAUUGAACCAGUCAGCUGAAUCUAAUGGUAC
rnacentral:lncRNA from 10 species